rnacentral:rRNA from 1 species
AUCCACGGCCAUAGAAUACGAAAAACGCCCCAUCCCGUCCGCUCUGGGCAGCUAAAUCGUGUAUCGCUCAGCUAGUACCAUCGUGGGGGACCAGAUGGGAAUCCUGAGUGCUGUGGUUUUUG